rnacentral:rRNA from 1 species
GACAGAGGGGGCAAGCGUUGCUCGGAAUUACUGGGCGUAAAGGGCGCGUAGGCGGGAUGGCAAGUCGGUCGUGAAAUCCCUCGGCUCAACCGAGGAACGUCGAUCGAUACUGCUGUUCUUGAGGAUUGCAGAGGAGACUGGAAUUCCCGGUGUAGCGGUGAAAUGUGUAGAGAUCAGGAGGAACACCGGUGGCGAAGGCGGGUCUCUGGGCCGAUACUGACGCUGGAGGAGCGAAAGCGUGGGGAGCGAACAGG